rnacentral:rRNA from 1 species
AAUAAGCUAAUUAAGAGCGUAAGGUGGAUGCCUUGGCUCUCAGAGGCGAUGAAGGACGUGAUAAGCUGCGAUAAGCUACGGGGAUUGGCACACACAAUUUGAUCCGUAGAUUUCCGAAUGGGGAAACCCACUAUAUUGAAGAUAUAGUAUCCGUUAAGGAAGCAAACCCAGGGAACUGAAACAUCUAAGUACCUGGAGGAAUAGAAAACAAAAGUGAUUCCGCUAGUAGUGGCGAGCGAACGCGGAUCAGCCCAAACCAAAAUUGUUUCGGCAAUUUUGGGGUUGUAGGACCACGACAUUGAAUGUUUAAUGAAUUAGAAUUCUUUGGAAAAAGAAACCAUAGAGGGUGAUAGUCCC